UACAGAGGGGGCAAGCGUUGUUCGGAAUUACUGGGCGUAAAGGGCGCGUAGGCGGCCUUCUAAGUCGAACGUGAAAUCCCCGGGCUCAACCCGGGAACUGCGUCCGAUACUGGAAGGCUUGAAUCCGGGAGAGGGAUGUGGAAUUCCAGGUGUAGCGGUGGAAAUGCGUAGAUAUCUGGAGGACACCGGUGGCGAAGGCGACAUCCUGGACCGGUAUUGAGCGCUGAGGCGCGAAAGCCAGGGGAGCAACGGG
rnacentral:rRNA from 1 species